rnacentral:lncRNA from 1 species
GCCAGCAUCUAGUAUUGCUUUCGUCGAGCUACAGACCUAUCCCGGAUAACAUCACUAUUUCAGGGAAUUCUCAGCAGGAAAUGCCAGACAACUAUGUGAACGGAGCUUUUGUGUAUGACGUCGGUGAUGGCUUCAUCUGGAUCGUUUUCUGGACCAAGAAUAAUCAGGUAAAUAUUAAUCUCUCAGUUUCUAAAUAAUUCUUUCCCAUGAUAUAGCAUCAGACUGACUUCACUUUUUUCACAUGGUAAUUAUAUUAAAGCUUAACUAUUUAUUUUAAAAAAUAAAAUAUAUUAUAGCAUAUAUGAUAAUCCAUUCAUUUAUCAAUUGUAGGUCUCUACUAAGAUCUUCAUACGUUAUAAUGACUCCACUGAACCCAAUAAUUCCAUUCUCUGGCACCAAGUUGUAAACAAUCUUCACCCCCGCCUCAGCGAAGAUUGCGCUUUUGGAUAUACCGCAAGGGCAAGGAUUGAACCAAAUGCUAACGGUCAAGUAUUAACCGCCAAUAUCUCCCGUGUAUCUUCCGUGUUUGAUUAAUUGCUAUCUAUCGUAUCUAGGCAAUCUAUGUGAGGUGGUGAGGCUGUCGAAACAAAAUAAAAUAGUUUGCACUACUACUAUUUUCUUUUUAUAUUAUGUAAUACUAUAUUUAAAUAAAUUUGACAGCCAGCAAUAAAAGAUUGCCAUGUGUGCUUAGUUUGUUUCCUUUUCCGUUGGUGAUAAAAUCAUUAUUUCUAUGAUUGAUAAAAGAAAAAGUAUAUUAAAAAAUAUAUGCAUCUUCUCUUAAUUUAUUUUAUAUAUGUCAUAGCUCUAAAACAGAACAACUUUGAUAAGCCAAAUUUAAAAAUAAAAAGAGUUUACCUCUCCAAACAUCAUGACAAUUAAUGGAUUGUUCGCCCAAUCUUCUCUCAAAUUAUACACAACUCUUCAUUCUAUUUAAUUUAAUUUAAUCUAAUCUAUUUUGAUCAAGCCAUUAAUAAUUAAAGAGUUUGACUAGCCAGUGGCAAUAGAGUCCAUCAAUUUGAAAGUUUUGCGGACAACUGAAUCUAGAAGUCAAACCUAAUCCCUUGUUAGAGAAAAAAAAAGGAAGAGGCAUUCUAGAAGUACCUUGUAAUGAGAUCUCAUGCUCACAAAGCCCACAUCUGAUAUUGCCUCUAGCUUGACACCCAUUGUAACAC